UGGGGAAUAUUGCACAAUGGGCGAAAGCCUGAUGCAGCAACGCCGCGUGAGUGAUGAAGGUCUUCGGAUUGUAAAGCUCUGUCUUUUGGGACGAUAAUGACGGUACCAAAGGAGGAAGCCACGGCUAACUACGUGCCAGCAGCCGCGGUAAUACGUAGGUGGCGAGCGUUGUCCGGAUUUACUGGGCAUAAAGGGUGCGUAGGCGGAUGUUUAAGUGAGAUGUGAAAUACCCGGGCUUAACUUGGGUGCUGCAUUUCAAACUGGAUAUCUAGAGUGCAGGAGAGGAGAAUGGAAUUCCUAGUGUAGCGGUGAAAUGCGUAGAGAUUAGGAAGAACACCAGUGGCGAAGGCGAUUCUCUGGACUGUAACUGACGCUGAGGCACGAAAGCGUGGGUAGCAAACAGGAUUAGAUACCCUGGUAGUCCACGCCGUAAACGAUGAGUACUAGGUGUAGGAGGUAUCGACCCCUUCUGUGCCGCAGUAAACACAUUAAGUACUCCGCCUGGGAAGUACGAUCGCAAGAUUAAAACUCU
rnacentral:rRNA from 1 species